rnacentral:rRNA from 1 species
AACGAACGCUGGCGGCAUGCCUAACACAUGCAAGUCGAACGAGACCUCCGGGUCUAGUGGCGCACGGGUGCGUAACGCGUGGGAACCUGCCCUUAGGUUCGGAAUAACUCCCCGAAAGGGGUGCUAAUACCGGAUAAUGUCUUCGGACCUAAGAUUUAUCGCCUUUGGAUGGGCCCGCGUUGGCUUAGCUGGUUGGUACGGUAAAAGCCUACCAUGGCGACGAUCCAUAGCUGGUCUGAGAGGAUGAUCAGCCACACUGGGGCUGAGACACGGCCCAGACUCCUACGGGAGGCAGGAGAGGGGAGUAUUGGACAAGGGGCGAAGGCCUGAUACAGCAGUGCCGCGUGAGUGAUGAAGGGCUUAGGGUUGUAAAGCUCUUUUACCCGGGAUGAUAAUGACGGUACCGGGAGAAUAAGCACCGGCUAACUCCGUG